ensembl:snRNA U1 U1 spliceosomal RNA
AGCUCCCCCUGGCAGGGAGACACCAUGAUCACGAAGGUGGUUUUCCCAGGGUGAGGCUUAUCCGUCGCACGCCAGCUGUGCUGACCCCUGCGAUUUCCCCAGAUGUAAGAAACUCAGCUGCAUGAUUUGCGGUAGUGGGGGACUGUGUUCGCACUCUCCCCUG